UACGUAGGGGGCAAGCGUUGUCCGGAAUCAUUGGGCGUAAAGCGCGUGUAGGCGGUUCGGUAAGUCUGCUGUGAAAGUCCAGGGCUCAACCCUGGGAUGCCGGUGGAUACUGUCCGACUAGAAUACGGAAGAGGCGAGUGGAAUUCCCGGUGUAGCGGUGAAAUGCGCAGAUAUCGGGAGGAACACCAAUUGCGAAGGCAGCUCGCUGGGACGUUACUGACGCUGAGACGCGAAAGCGUGGGGAGCAAACAGG
rnacentral:rRNA from 1 species